GUGCAGCAGUCGCGAAAACUCCGCAAUACGCGAGAGCGUGACGGGGCCAUCCCGAGUGCCGUCCGCUGAGGAUGGCUUUUCCUCAGUCUAUAUAGCUGGGGGAAUAAGGAGAGGGCAAGUCUGGUGUCAGCCACCGCGGUAAUACCAGCUCUCCGAGUGGUGGGGAUGUUUAUUGGGCUUAAAGCAUCCGUAGCUGGCUGGGCAAGUCCCCGGUUAAAUCUAACGAUUUAAUCGGUGGAUUGCGGGGGAUACUGUUCGGCUAGGAGGCGGGAGAGGCCGACGGUAUUCCCGGGGUAGGGGUGAAAUCCUAUAAUCCCGGGAGGACCAGCAGUGGCGAAGGCUGUCGGCUAGAACGCGCUCGACGGUGAGGGAUGAAAGCUGGGGGAGCGAACCGGAUUAGAUACCCGGGUAGUCC
rnacentral:rRNA from 1 species